AAAUAUUUCCAGUGUUCCUGCAGACAGGCGUGAUCCCAGCCGGCGUUUAUUUAUUGCAACAACCACAUAUAUCAGCGGCUACCGCGUGCUUCAGCUGGGAGGAGACGGGGUCAACACCCUCGGAAGUUUGAAGCCGCCCACGUCAGUUCUGUGCAUUACAGAAGCACGGGGACGCGGUUUGGACUGUGUACGCGCCAUUAGUUCGCGUGUCUCGGCGUCAAUUCAAAGCUGGGCGCGUUCUGUCGAACAGAACAGAGUGCACCGACAUCUUCUCCCAGGCGACGUCGAAUCUACUGCAGGUGCUGCCGCGAGCGGUGCAAACGCCACGAGUGAAAGAAGAGAGCGGGACAGACAGAAAAGAAACAAAACGGCAUAGUGCUCCCUUACUGAGGGUCCCAGUAUACAGCCUUUCAUAUCGGAACCCUCGUCUGUGUAUAUUGAAACGCGGUCAUCCGACGAAGACAAACAAGCACAGGUGACAAUAUUUCUAAGCUCCCGUACAUUUCGCCAUCAGAAUCAAGCUUCGAUUUGCCACAAAUUUCGUCAGAACAUAUGCCAAUGAGCCCGGCUGGCAAAAUACAUUACAUACUUCCAAGCGCACAUGGGGUGGACAAGACAAGCUGAUCCAACUAUAUACGCGUUAUCCUACUUCUCAACCCAGCCUUGAAUGCAAAAAGAGUAAAAAGAAAAUAAUAAUAAAUGGGUUGGUCUUGAAGGGCUUUUGCAGAAACAAAGGCGCGCUUCAAUUUGCGUAUUAAGAUAUCUUGGGGAACAAUAUGAGAAGCCCGCAAGUGGGUACGCUACGUUCAUUAUGUAUACAUUAUCACCGCGGACCCUCCGUGAAAGGCCGUCUUUAGCAUACCUCUGCGUGCAGCUUUGCCUUCGCAUAAGCGCAGCAUGAGUCCAGCUCGCUGGCUGAACCAGUUCACACGGCGCGUGCAAUGCAUUCCGAUUCGUUCUGCC